rnacentral:misc_RNA from 1 species
AAGUCGUAACAAGGUAACCGUAGGUGAACCUGCGGUUGGAUCAUUACAAAAUUGGUUUCAUACCAAACUUUUUGUGCACUAUAUCUGUCUCUGGUGGCUCUCGUGCUGAGAACUUCCAACGGUUCUUGGCCUGCUUAAUUGCUGGGUCACCAACGGUGGGCUAUCGUCUGGUAGCUCAUGAACACACCUUUUUUACUUAUUGUCUGAAACUUCACAUUGGUGAAUUUGAAAACAACUUUUGACAACGGAUCUCUUGGCUCUC